GAAGGGGAGAGGGCAUGGAGCGAUGUUCUUGCGCUGCAGCCCCUGAAAAAUGAGAGGGGAGGCAACUACGUCGAGCACCCUGGUGCAUGCAGAGAUGCAUGGGAGUCCUCCACUCUGGAGCAGCCCUUUGGAGUGGUGUCCCUGCUGGUGGAGCCCGGGUGGCAGGCCAGUUCCAGAACAGCAGCCUCCAGAGUUCUCUCCCAGGAGCUCUGGUUUACUGCAGGGAAGCUGCAGGAUAACGAUGCAGAAAAGGACACGAUUCUCCUCCUUAUUUUGUUUUGAGUGCUACAAGAAAGACCGUAUGGCUCAUUUGAUGGUGUAUCCUCCUGUGAUGUUCUAGGACCUGCUUCAUCAUCAGGUUUAAAGCAGAGUUUUUGCUGGUCACUUGUCUUGAAUCCUGCAAAUCCAAGUUUUAAUGUAAGCAAGAACAGCAAUGCCUCGGAUGAAGUUGCUCAUGUGGCCAAGCAGAGCUUCCUUAAGCCUGUCUUUAAUAGUGUGAAGGCAAAAGAGCUUUGAGUUUUCACAAACAGCUAGUAAAAUAUCAUCUCUGAGGACACAUUCUGGCAGAACCUUCCCUACUAAUUUUGUCAAGUGUUUUGCACUUACACUGGUUGAGGAAACGGCCUCCUGAACACUUUCCAUGAUGAAUUCCUUUGUGAUCCUGCGACAAGGCAAUUCAUUGAAGAGAGAGUUGAUCAAAGCCACUUUUGCAGCAUCUCGCCUUGCUUCUGCUCUGCUUAGGCAGCUCUGAAAAAGCGCAGAAAAAUUCUAUGCGUCUCAGGCCUUAAGGAAUUCACUACCUGACACAAUCACCUUAACUCAACUGGAUUGCUUCUAUUCACUGUAAUAAGAAGUGUCUUCUAAGACCCCGUGCAGGCUUAACUCCUCAUCAGUAGGUGCUGCACCUUGUCCAUGCCUGUUGGAUUCAAGCUGGAGCUACUGUUACCAAUUUAAAGGAAGGUAGAGGGUAGAGCGCUUGACCAGACAACCUUCGUCCUCCUGGAUGCUGGAGGCAUCAAAUUCAAUUCCAGUUUUCUUUCACUGAAACCUGAUCUGCCUCUGAUCUGGGGAGACCAGAGACUAAACUGGUAAAAUCAUGCCAUAUUCAACUAAUAGCUGGAACUGCUUGUUCUUUUCUUCUAAGUUAUUUUUCUCUAAAAUCACUGAGUGGUGGUGCCAUGGAGGCUGAAGAAUUCAAGUGUGGAACAGCAAUGUUGCAAAAAUGGAAAUUGCCAUGUAUUUUUUAUGGCAAAAGUCUUUUCAGAAAGAAAAUCCUCCCUGGCAAAGAUUUGAAGGUGCCACUUACCUGAAAGUUCCCAAAACAGCUCCCCCCUGGCAGGGUGACAUAACUCACGAACGGAGGGCCCAGGGAGCUCAGCGACUCAUACACCACGGUGCCUUCGCUCGGAAAUGCGGCUUUCUGCUUCUGCUUGCUCUCCCAGAACUCCUGCAAUAUUGCUACGACAUUCACUGUUAAAGAUAUGAAAAAGAUGAACAAGGAUGAACAGUACAGGCCUUUGAUCUUGACUUACUGUUUUCUGUGUUGAACAAGAAAUGCAGACAGAUGAGUUAGGAGCUUGAUACAUUAAGUCAUCACCAGCAUUAAAACUCCUAUAAUUGUCACAAGAACAGACUGAGGACCACCUGGGAUUACAGGCUGCUGUUGAUCGCCCAUUGCAGUCAAGCUGAACGUGUUAAUGGGGAGAGAUGGGAAAAGGGAUCCAUCUUCCAGCAGCUUCGUCCUGGUGGUAGCACGUGCAUGGAGCAUCGUCCUGUUCCCUGCAGCAUGGGCCACGUGCUCUCCAGGUGAGCUGGUGAAGAGCAACAUCAUCAAUUUGACACCGAAUACAUUACACUCAGAACUGAUUGGCAGUUCCUAAAAGGCUUUAAAGAUUUUGGAAUAGAACAACAACAACAGAAGAAGGAAAGAAAUCAGCUGAACAGCAUCCUCAAGAGUCAUUUGUCCCAGGUAUGUCGUGAAACAGAGGAAGAAGGAAGAUGGAAGAUGUUGGAGAUUUGUAGUAAAAUCUUCAGGCUGCGUAUGGAGAAGGAAAUGGAGUCUCCCCACUUCGAUUCUUCUCUACUCUUGUCUUUCACCUACUGGCAAUAGACUGCAUCAGUCUCAGUAGCCUUGCUGCUCUUCUAAGAUUGCGCAGAGGUGACAACCACAGCCAAAUAAGAAGCCUCUUCGCUUCAGCUGUCUUUCUAGAAGACUCAGAACUUUUCUCCAGCAGUAUAACUGAUUACUUAACGCUUGCAGUUAUUUGUCCUCUCUCGUACCUAAAGUGGAGACUAGCUGUAGCAGAAAACAGGAAGGAGAUGUGCUGGACUGAUGGUCAGUUACAGUGCUGGGUUGAUAUGGAUGUAGCCUGCUCAGAGUCACUUCAGUUCAGAGGCAAAAGGGAAGUCCUCCUGCCUCCCCGUGCUGUGCAGCCAGGAGGGAUGCUGAGGGGUGCUGCAGCGUGUUUGCCUUGUUAGAUUCAAGACUCUUGGCUCUAGACAUUUCCCACGUAAUGUCCUAUCCUGCCUACUUGCCUGGGUCUUGCUCUCUUCUACCUCUGCAUGUGACAUAGCUGAGGACCAAAAUAUUUUACUCUUAAGUACUCUCCAUUCUCAUUAUGAAUAUGCUUUUUCUAAGACUUUCGUAUCUUCUAGUAUCUUGAAAUAGGAAAAACAGGCAUUUUUAAAAAAAGAAAGAAUAAUAAACCCCUCAAAGAAACCACAUUUCUUUGGCAGUUUUGUUAUAUUUCCUGGGGUCAUACAGUGCCUGAUUCAGAGU